rnacentral:rRNA from 1 species
CUGCCGGAGGAUCGGCCCGCGUCUGAUUAGCUAGUUGGUGGGGUAACGGCCUACCAAGGCGACGAUCAGUAGCUGGUCUGAGAGGAUGAUCAGCCACACUGGGACUGAGACACGGCCCAGACUCCUACGGGAGGCAGCAGUGGGGAAUAUUGGACAAUGGGCGCAAGCCUGAUCCAGCCAUGCCGCGUGAGUGAUGAAGGCCUUAGGGUUGUAAAGCUCUUUUAUCCGGGACGAUAAUGACGGUACCGGAGGAAUAAGCCCCGGCUAACUUCGUGCCAGCAGCCGCGGUAAUACGAAGGGGGCUAGCGUUGCUCGGAAUCACUGGGCGUAAAGGGCGCGUAGGCGGCGUUUUAAGUCGGGGGUGAAAGCCUGUGGCUCAACCACAGAAUGGCCUUCGAUACUGGGACGCUUGAGUAUGGUAGAGGUUGGUGGAACUGCGAGUGUAGAGGUGAAAUUCGUAGAUAUUCGCAAGAACACCGGUGGCGAAGGCGGCCAACUGGGACCAUUACUNGACGCUGGAGGCGCGAAAAGCGUGGGGGAGCAAACAGGGAUUAGAAUACCCCUGGGUAGUCCACGCCCNUAA